GACGAACGCUGGCGGCGUGCCUAAUACACGCAAGUCGAGCGGACUAAUGGGAGCUUGCUCCCGUUAGUUAGCGGCGGACGGGUGAGUAACACGUGGCAACCUACCUGUAAGACUGGGAUAACUUCGGGAAACCGGAGCUAAUACCGGAUGAUAUAAAGGAACUCCUGUUCCUUUAUUGAAAGAUGGCUUCGGCUAUCACUUACAGAUGGGCCCGCGGCGCAUUAGCUAGUUGGAGAGGUAACGGCUCACCAAGGCGACGAUGCGUAGCCGACCUGAGAGGGUGAUAGGCCACACUGGGACUGAGACGCGGCCAAGACUCCUACGGGAGGCAGCAGUAGGGAAUCUUCCGCAAUGGACGAAAGUCUGACGGAGCAACGCCGCGUGAGCGAUGAAGGCCUUCGGGUCGUAAAGCUCUGUUGUUAGGGAAGAAUAAGUGCUAGUUGAAUAAGCUGGCACCUUGACGGUACCUAACCAGAAAGCCACGGCUAACUACGUGCCAGCAGCCGCCGCCG
rnacentral:rRNA from 1 species